AGGGAGCACAGCAGCAUGCCAGAUCCUCCCUGGAUUUGAGCAUAUCAGCCUGCUAAGUGUCCAGCAAGGAAGAAGGGCAUGAGUUGAUAGAAGCAUUGUGGAAAAACCCAACCAUGUAAUCCCAGGAAGUAUCAGUGGCAGUCAUUAAGUUAUCAC
rnacentral:lncRNA from 1 species